UACGUAGGGGGCAAGCGUUGUCCGGAUUUAUUGGGCGUAAAGAGCGUGUAGGCGGCUUUACAGGUCCGUUGUGAAAACUCGAGGCUCAACCUCGAGACGCCGGUGGAAACCGUAAAGCUAGAGUCCGGAAGAGGAGAGUGGAAUUCCCGGUGUAGCGGUGAAAUGCGCAGAUAUCGGGAAGAACACCCGUGGCGAAGGCGGCUCUCUGGGACGGUACCGACGCUGAGACGCGAAAGCGUGGGGAGCGAACAGG
rnacentral:rRNA from 1 species